rnacentral:rRNA from 1 species
GGCGCAAGCCUGAUCCAGCCAUGCCGCGUGAGUGAUGAAGGCCUUAGGGUUGUAAAGCUCUUUUGUCCGGGACGAUAAUGACGGUACCGGAAGAAUAAGCCCCGGCUAACUUCGUGCCAGCAGCCGCGGUAAUACGUAGGUGCCAGCAGCCGCGGUAAU